rnacentral:rRNA from 1 species
UACGUAGGGUGCAAGCGUUAAUCGGAAUUACUGGGCGUAAAGCGUGCGCAGGCGGCUUUGCAAGACAGAUGUGAAAUCCCCGGGCUCAACCUGGGAACUGCAUUUGUGACUGCACGGCUGGAGUGCGGCAGAGGGGGAUGGAAUUCCGCGUGUAGCAGUGAAAUGCGUAGAUAUGCGGAGGAACACCGAUGGCGAAGGCAAUCCCCCUGGGCCUGCACUGACGCUCAUGCACGAAAGCGUGGGGAGCAAACAGG